CCAAACUUUUCUAAAAUUAUAUUUUGACUCCUUAAUUUUUUAAAAUUACAUUUUAACCCCUUAACUUUCUUAAAGUUGCAUUUUGACCCUAGAAGUUUUGCUCCCUUUACAAUCUGGUCCUUCUAGCACAAAAUCCCCAGCCGCCAGGCGCGACUUACGCACCUACCCUCCGCGAUUUCCGAUGACCGGCGUGGGUAGGAGGCCCUCCUCCAACUUCUACUUGAAAAAGGAGAAAAAAAUCAACAAAAUAAAAGGGAUCUUCCCUUUCAAAAUAGGCAGCAAGAAAAAGCAAAAAUAAAAUAAAAACAUAGCAAAAAAAUAAAAAAAUAGCAGCCAAAAAGAUUUGGCAGUGCCUCACUGCCACCGUGACCACCGCCGCACCACCACCUUCCCUCUUCCACCAUCGCCAAAACCUAAUCAACAAGAAAGAAUAAAAAAUAAAAAAGGCAACCAAAUAAAAAAAACAACAAAAAAUCAAAAAAUUCGGCUUACCUACAGCCUAUCGCCGCCCUUUUGCCCAUCGCUGCCACCGUGACCGCCCCAUUGCCUUGCCUCUUCCACCAUUACCAACACCCAAACAACCAAAACAAAACGAGAAGGAAAAAGGGAGAAAGAAAGGAGAAGGAAAAAAAGAAAUAAUAGAAGAAAAAAAGAAAAGAGGAGAGGAGGGGACGGAGCGCCGGCGACUGUCGUACCGCCUGGCAGAGGAACCGACGGCGUGAAGGGGGCUAGGGCUUGAGAAGAAGGAGAA
rnacentral:lncRNA from 1 species